UUGGAGGGCAAGUCUGGUGCCAGCAGCCGCGGUAAUUCCAGCUCCAAUAGCGUAUAUUAAAGUUGUUGCAGUUAAAAAGCUCGUAGUUGAAUUUCGGAGUUUGUCGGUCGGUCGGGCUUCACUGUCCGCACUGGCCUGAUGAAUUCCUACCUUCUGAAUAACCAGCAUGCUAUUAAGUUAGUGCGUUGGGGAAGCAGAGCUAUUACCUUGAAAAAAUUAGAGUGCUUAAAGCAGGCUUAUGCUUGAAUAGAUUAGCAUGGAAUAAUAAAAUAGGACGGCAUGGUUCUAUUUUGUUGGUUUCUAGGAUCACCGUAAUGAUUAAUAGGGAUAGUUGGGGGCAUUAGUAUUCAAUUGUCAGAGGUGAAAUUCUUGGAUUUAUUGAAGACUAACUUCUGCGAAAGCAUUUGCCAAGGAUGUUUUCAUUAAUCAAGAACGAAAGUUAGGGGAUCGAAGACGAUCAGAUACCGUCGUAGUCUUAACCAUAAACUAUGCCGACUAGGGAUCGGACGAUGUUAAUUUUUUAAUGACUCGUUCGGCGCCUUACGGGAAAC
rnacentral:rRNA from 1 species